UCCUGGGCACUGCUGUAUACAGAAUGGAGA
rnacentral:piRNA from 1 species